UCGAGAAUUUUUCACAAUGGGCGCAAGCCUGAUGGAGCGACGCCGCGUGGGGGAUGAAGGGCUUCGGCCCGUAAACCCCUGUCAUUUGCGAACAAACCUUGCCUGAUAACACCAGGCGAGCUGAUUGUAGCGAAAGAGGAAGGGACGGCUAACUCUGUGCCAGCAGCCGCGGUAAUACAGAGGUCCCAAGCGUUGUUCGGAUUCACUGGGCGUAAAGGGUGCGUAGGUGGUGAGGUAAGUCGGAUGUGAAAUCUCUGAGCUCAACUCAGAAAUGGCAUUGGAAACUACCUUGCUUGAGGAUUGGAGGGGGGACUGGAAUUCUCGGUGUAGCAGUGAAAUGCGUAGAGAUCGAGAGGAACACCAGUGGCGAAGGCGAGUCCCUGGACAAUACCUGACACUGAGGCACGAAAGCUAGGGGAGCAAACAGGAUUAGAUACCCUGGUAGUCCUAGCCGUAAACGGUGUGCACUUGCUGUAGGCGGAAUCC
rnacentral:rRNA from 1 species